rnacentral:rRNA from 1 species
CCUACGGGUGGCAGCAGUCGAGAAUCAUUCACAAUGGGGGAAACCCUGAUGGUGCGACGCCGCGUGGGGGAAUGAAGGUCUUCGGAUUGUAAACCUCUGUCAUGUGGGAGCAAAUUAAAAAGAUAGUACCACAAGAGGAAGAGACGGCUAACUAUGUGCCAGCAGCCGCGGUAAUACAGAGGUCUCAAGCGUUGUUCGGAAUCACUGGGCGUAAAGGGUGCGUAGGCGGUUUCGUAAGUCGUGUGUGAAAGGCGCGGGCUCAACCCGCGGACGGCACAUGAUACUGCGAGACUAGAGUAAUGGAGGGGGAACCGGAAUUCGCGGUGUAGCAGUGAAAUGCGUAGAUAUCGAGAGGAACACUCGUGGCGAAGGCGGGUUCCUGGACAUUAACUGACGCUGAGGCACGAAGGCCAGGGGAGCGAAAGGGAUUAGAUACCCGAGUAGUC